rnacentral:rRNA from 1 species
UUUAUGGAGAGUUUGAUCCUGGCUCAGAGUGAACGCUGGCGGCGUGCCUAAUACAUGCAAGUCGAACGAUGAAGCUCUAGCUUGCUAGAGUGGAUUAGUGGCGCACGGGUGAGUAAUGCAUAGAUAACAUGCCCUUUAGUCUAGGAUAGCCAUUGGAAACGAUGAUUAAUACUGGAUACUCCUUACGAGGGAAAGUUUUUCGCUAAAGGAUUGGUCUAUGUCCUAUCAGCUUGUUGGUGAGGUAAUGGCUCACCAAGGCUAUGACGGGUAUCCGGCCUGAGAGGGUGAACGGACACACUGGAACUGAGACACGGUCCAGACUCCUACGGGAGGCAGCAGUAGGGAAUAUUGCUCAAUGGGGGAAACCCUGAAGCAGCAACGCCGCGUGGAGGAUGAAGGUUUUCGGAUUGUAAACUCCUUUUGUUAGAGAAGAUAAUGACGGUAUCUAACGAAUAAGCACCCCUGAGAGGGUGAACGGACACACUGGAACUGAGACACGGUCCAGACUCCUACGGGAGGCAGCAGUAGGGAAUAUUGCUCAAUGGGGGAAACCCUGAAGCAGCAACGCCGCGUGGAGGAUGAAGGUUUUCGGAUUGUAAACUCCUUUUGUUAGAGAAGAUAAUGACGGUAUCUAACGAAUAAGCACCGGCUAACUCCGUGCCAGCAGCCGCGGUAAUACGGAGGGUGCAAGCGUUACUCGGAAUCACUGGGCGUAAAGAGCGCGUAGGCGGGAUAGCAAGUCAGAUGUGAAAUCCUAUGGCUUAACCAUAGAACUGCAUUUGAAACUGUUAUUCUAGAGUAUGGGAGAGGUAGGUGGAAUUCUUGGUGUAGGGGUAAAAUCCGUAGAGAUCAAGAGGAAUACUCAUUGCGAAGGCGACCUGCUAGAACAUAACUGACGCUGAUGCGCGAAAGCGUGGGGAGCAAACAGGAUUAGAUACCCUGGUAGUCCACGCCCUAAACGAUGAAUGCUAGUUGUUGUGGAGCUUGUCUCUGCAGUAAUGCAGCUAACGCAUUAAGCAUUCCGCCUGGGGAGUACGGUCGCAAGAUUAAAACUCAAAGGAAUAGACGGGGACCCGCACAAGCGGUGGAGCAUGUGGUUUAAUUCGAAGAUACACGAAGAACCUUACCUAGGCUUGACAUUGAUAGAAUCCGCUAGAGAUAGUGGAGUGCUAGCUUGCUAGAACUUGAAAACAGGUGCUGCACGGCUGUCGUCAGCUCGUGUCGUGAGAUGUUGGGUUAAGUCCCGCAACGAGCGCAACCCUCGUCCUUAGUUGCUAACUAUUCGGUAGAGCACUCUAAGGAGACUGCCUUCGCAAGGAGGAGGAAGGUGAGGAUGACGUCAAGUCAUCAUGGCCCUUACGCCUAGGGCUACACACGUGCUACAAUGGGAAGCACAAAGAGAUGCAAUAUUGUGAAAUGGAGCAAAUCUAUAAAACUUCUCUCAGUUCGGAUUGUAGUCUGCAACUCGACUACAUGAAGCUGGAAUCGCUAGUAAUCGUAAAUCAGCUAUGUUACGGUGAAUACGUUCCCGGGUCUUGUACUCACCGCCCGUCACACCAUGGGAGUUGUAUUCGCCUUAAGUCGGAAUGCCAAACUGGCUACCGCCCACGGCGGAUGCAGCGACUGGGGUGAAGUCGUAACAAGGUAACCGUAGGUGAACCUGCGGUUGGAUCACCUCCUUUC